GCUUCGAUGGUGAAAGGGACAUCAUCCGGCUAUGCGAAGGCCGUGUUCCUGGUUCGAUUCCAGGUCGAAGCA
rnacentral:tRNA from 1 species